rnacentral:lncRNA from 1 species
AUCAAGAAGAACUACGAGGUCACCAUCAAAGACCUGCAAGCCAAGAUGGAGGAGGCCGAGCAGCUGGCUCUGAAAGGCGGCAAGCGAACGAUCAUGAAGCUGGAGGCCAGGAUCAAGGAACUAGAGACAGAGCUGGAUGGGGAACAGAAACAGCACGUGGAGACAGUCAAGACACUGUGUAAGAAUGAGCGUCGCCUCAAAGAGCUGGUCUUCCAGACAGAGGAGGACCACAAGACCAAUCAGCGCAUGCAGGCGCUGGUGGAGAAGCUUCAGAACAAGCUGAAGGUCUACAAGAGGCAGAUUGAGGAGGCGGAGGACCAGGCCAACCAGACCUUGGCUCGAUACAGGAAGACGG